CCGGGUGUAGCGCAGUUGGUAGCGCGGGUGGUUUGGGACCAUCAGGUCGGGGGUUCGAGCCCCUCCACUCGGACCA
rnacentral:tRNA from 1 species